rnacentral:rRNA from 1 species
AGCAGCCGCGGUAAUUCCAGCUCCAAUAGCGUAUAUUAAAGUUGUUGCAGUUAAAAAGCUCGUAGUUGAAUUUCGAGACCGGCUUACUGGUCGUGCUAUUGUACGUACUGGUAUAAUCGGUUUCUCCUUUCUGACGAACUAUAAUGCCAUUAAUUUGGUGUUUUAGGGAAUCAGGACUGUUACUUUGAAAAAAUUAGAGUGUUUAAAGCAGGCUCACGCUUGAAUACAUUAGCAUGGAAUAACGGAAUAGGACGUUUGAUUCUAUUUUGUUGGUUUCUAGGAUCGACGUAAUGAUUAAUAGGGAUAGUUGGGGGCAUUAGUAUUCAAUUGUCAGAGGCGAAAUUCUUGGAUUUAUUGAAGACUAACUACUGCGAAAGCAUUUGCCAAGGAUGUUUUCAUUAAUCAAGAACGAAAGUUAGGGGAUCGAAGACGAUCAGAUACCGUCGUAGUCUUAACCAUAAACUAUGCCGACUAGGGAUCGGAUGAUGUUAAUUUUUAAUGACUCAUU